GCAAGGCGGGAAGCAGCAGACAGUAGGGUUGCAGAAACUACCUACGCAGCAGCAAUCAGGCUCACUGGACUUACUUUUCAGAUCAGUUUAUGCCUUUGCAUCUUGCUGUUCCAGUUUCAAGAAGUUAAGGAAGAUAACUGGAGAUGUGAUAACGAUACCAGAAGACUGAGAAGAAACUGACCCUCAUUAGAAAGAUGAUGGAGACCACAUUUCCCCU